rnacentral:sRNA from 1 species
AAGAAAUGAUCAAACACAAACCAUCAAACAUAAAAGACGCCUUCAGAUUCUUCAAAGAACCUUAGAUCACCUUUCAGAGGAGAAGAAUUUUAAAGAAUCCUGUCUGUUCGACAGGGAUUUAAGAGAGCAGUUAACUACUAUAGAUAAAGAAACACUUCAAGGAGCAGCUAAACCAGAUCUCCUCUGGCAAACACGACAUAUAAUAUUUUUAUAAUGGAUGGAAAGACAUGGUGGCACAAUUCUGAAGAAAAAAAUUUCACAAAACUUGCAAAAAAACAGAAACAGUUGAAGAGCAGCUCCUGUGUCUAAGCCAGGUCGUGGGGCCGUCAAACCAGGACUUGAAACCACAAUGCGAGGACAUUCUCCAUCUGCGCACCACAGGGAGGCAAUUCCAUUUCUGCCCGGGAGGUGUAUUCUACAAAAACGUCUGCUUCCCAUCCCAAUUUGAAUGGACCAAGAAAAACUGCUUUACCAUAGGACACUUGUGGCAAUAUGGCACCGAUGGCUGGCGUCGGUGAACCCGACAGACUAUGGAUUUAUCAUUUAAUAAAGCAUUG